rnacentral:rRNA from 1 species
UGCGGAGGGUGCGAGCGUUGUCCGGAAUCACUGGGCGUAAAGGGCGCGUAGGCGGCCCGCGCAAGCGUGCGGUGAAAGCCCGGGGCUCAACCCCGGGUCGGCCGUGCGGACUGCGGGGCUCGAGCACUGUAGGGGCAGAUGGAAUUCCGGGUGUAGCGGUGGAAUGCGUAGAGAUCCGGAAGAACACCGGUGGCGAAGGCGGUCUGCUGGGCAGUAGCUGACGCUGAGGCGCGACAGCGUGGGGAGCAAACGGG